GACGAACGCUGGCGGCGUGCCUAAUACAUGCAAGUCGAACGAACUCUGGUAUUGAUUGGUGCUUGCAUCAUGAUUUACAUUUGAGUGAGUGGCGAACUGGUGAGUAACACGUGGGAAACCUGCCCAGAAGCGGGGGAUAACACCUGGAAACAGAUGCUAAUACCGCAUAACAACUUGGACCGCAUGGUCCGAGUUUGAAAGAUGGCUUCGGCUAUCACUUUUGGAUGGUCCCGCGGCGUAUUAGCUAGAUGGUGAGGUAACGGCUCACCAUGGCAAUGAUACGUAGCCGACCUGAGAGGGUAAUCGGCCACAUUGGGACUGAGACACGGCCCAAACUCCUACGGGAGGCAGCAGUAGGGAAUCUUCCACAAUGGACGAAAGUCUGAUGGAGCAACGCCGCGUGAGUGAAGAAGGGUUUCGGCUCGCAAAACUCUGUUGUUAAAGAAGAACAUAUCUGAGAGUAACUGUUCAGGUAUUGACGGUAUUUAACCAGAAAGCCACGGCUAACUACGUGCCAGCAGCCGCGGUAAUACGUAGGUGGCAAGCGUUGUCCGGAUUUAUUGGGCGUAAAGCGAGCGCAGGCGGUUUUUUAAGUCUGAUGUGAAAGCCUUCGGCUCAACCGAAGAAGUGCAUCGGAAACUGGGAAACUUGAGUGCAGAAGAGGACAGUGGAACUCCAUGUGUAGCGGUGAAAUGCGUAGAUAUAUGGAAGAACACCAGUGGCGAAGGCGGCUGUCUGGUCUGUAACUGACGCUGAGGCUCGAAAGUAUGGGUAGCAAACAGGAUUAGAUACCCUGGUAGUCCAUACCGUAAACGAUGAAUGCUAAGUGUUGGAGGGUUUCCGCCCUUCAGUGCUGCAGCUAACGCAUUAAGCAUUCCGCCUGGGGAGUACGGCCGCAAGGCUGAAACUCAAAGGAAUUGACGGGGGCCCGCACAAGCGGUGGAGCAUGUGGUUUAAUUCGAAGCUACGCGAAGAACCUUACCAGGUCUUGACAUACUAUGCAAAUCUAAGAGAUUAGACGUUCCCUUCGGGGACAUGGAUACAGGUGGUGCAUGGUUGUCGUCAGCUCGUGUCGUGAGAUGUUGGGUUAAGUCCCGCAACGAGCGCAACCCUUAUUAUCAGUUGCCAGCAUUAAGUUGGGCACUCUGGUGAGACUGCCGGUGACAAACCGGAGGAAGGUGGGGAUGACGUCAAAUCAUCAUGCCCCUUAUGACCUGGGCUACACACGUGCUACAAUGGAUGGUACAACGAGUUGCGAACUCGCGAGAGUAAGCUAAUCUCUUAAAGCCAUUCUCAGUUCGGAUUGUAGGCUGCAACUCGCCUACAUGAAGUCGGAAUCGCUAGUAAUCGCGGAUCAGCAUGCCGCGGUGAAUACGUUCCCGGGCCUUGUACACACCGCCCGUCACACCAUGAGAGUUUGUAACACCCAAAGUCGGUGGGGUAACCUUUUAGGAACCAGCCGCCUAAGGUGGGACAGAUGAUUAGGGUG
rnacentral:rRNA from 1 species